rnacentral:tRNA from 1 species
GGCAGUGUAGCGCAGCGGGCAAGGCACUGGGCUUGGAACCGAAAGGUCGCAGGUUCGAUUCCCGGGUAAGGACACUGCCG